CCUACGGGAGGCAGCAGUGGGGAAUCUUGCGCAAUGGGCGAAAGCCUGACGCAGCGACGCCGCGUGGGGGAAGAAGGCCUUAGGGUUGUAAACCUCUUUCAGGUGGGACGAAGCCACUCGGGUUAAUAGCCCAGAGGGUGACGGUACCGCCAGAAGAAGCCCCGGCUAACUACGUGCCAGCAGCCGCGGUAAUACGUAGGGGGCAAGCGUUGUCCGGAUUUAUUGGGCGUAAAGAGCGUGUAGGCGGCCAGGUAGGUGGGUUGUGAAAACUGGAGGCUCAACCUUCAGACGUCGACCCAAACCCCCUGGCUAGAGUCCGGAAGAGGAGAGUGGAAUUCCUGGUGUAGCGGUGAAAUGCGCAGAUAUCAGGAAGAACACCCGUGGCGAAGGCGGCUCUCUGGGACGGUACUGACGCUGAGACGCGAAAGCGUGGGGAGCGAACAGGAUUAGAUACCCUGGUAGUCCACGCCGUAAACGAUGGGUGCUAGGUGUGGGGGGUGUCGAUCCCCCGUGCCGAAGCUAACGCAUUAAGCACCCCGCCUGGGGAGUACGGCCGCAAGGCUAAAACUCAAAAUGAAUUGACGGCNGAGACGNGCGACGACGACGACGAGGAGAGG
rnacentral:rRNA from 1 species